CGAGCGAGCGGAACCAACAGAUUUACUUCGGUAAUGACGUCGGGAAAGCCAGCGGCGGAUGGGUGAGUAACACGUGGGGAACCUGCCCCUAAGUCUGGGAUACCAUUUGGAAACAGGUGCUAAUACCGGAUAAUAAAGCAGAUCGCAUGAUCAGCUUUUGAAAGGCGGCGUAAGCUGUCGCUAAGGGAUGGCCCCGCGGUGCAUUAGCUAGUUGGUAAGGUAACGGCUUACCAAGGCGACGAUGCAUAGCCGAGUUGAGAGACUGAUCGGCCACAUUGGGACUGAGACACGGCCCAAACUCCUACGGGAGGCAGCAGUAGGGAAUCUUCCACAAUGGACGCAAGUCUGAUGGAGCAACGCCGCGUGAGUGAAGAAGGUUUUCGGAUCGUAAAGCUCUGUUGUUGGUGAAGAAGGAUAGAGGUAGUAACUGGCCUUUAUUUGACGGUAAUCAACCAGAAAGUCACGGCUAACUACGUGCCAGCAGCCGCGGUAAUACGUAGGUGGCAAGCGUUGUCCGGAUUUAUUGGGCGUAAAGCGAGCGCAGGCGGAAAAAUAAGUCUAAUGUGAAAGCCCUCGGCUUAACCGAGGAACUGCAUCGGAAACUGUUUUUCUUGAGUGCAGAAGAGGAGAGUGGAACUCCAUGUGUAGCGGUGGAAUGCGUAGAUAUAUGGAAGAACACCAGUGGCGAAGGCGGCUCUCUGGUCUGCAACUGACGCUGAGGCUCGAAAGCAUGGGUAGCGAACAGGAUUAGAUACCCUGGUAGUCCAUGCCGUAAACGAUGAGUGCUAAGUGUUGGGAGGUUUCCGCCUCUCAGUGCUGCAGCUAACGCAUUA
rnacentral:rRNA from 1 species